rnacentral:misc_RNA from 1 species
AGCAGCCGCGGUAAUUCCAGCUCCAAUAGCGUAUAUUAAAGUUGUUGCAGUUAAAAAGCUCGUAGUUGAAUUUCGGGAUCAAUAUGUCGGUCGUGCCUUGGUACGUACUGGUAUCAUUGGUCUCUCCUUUCUGACGAACCAUGAUGUCAUUAAUUUGGUGUUAUGGGAAGUUAGGACUGUUACUUUGAAAAAUUAGAGUGUUUAAAGCAGGCUUUAGCUUGAAUACAUUAGCAUGGAAUAAUGAAAUAGGACGUUCGAACCUAUUUUGUUGGUUUCUAGGAUCAACGUAAUGAUUAAUAGGGAUAGUUGGGGGCAUUAGUAUUCAAUUGUCAGAGGUGAAAUUCUUGGAUUUAUUGAAGACUAACUACUGCGAAAGCAUUUGCCAAGGAUGUUUUCAUUAAUCAAGAACGAAAGUUAGGGGAUCGAAGACGAUCAGAUACCGUCGUAGUCUUAACCAUAAACUAUGCCGACUAGGGAUCGGAUGAUGUUAAUUUUUAAUGUACUCAUUCGGCGCCUUACG